rnacentral:lncRNA from 1 species
GAUCGGAAGCCCGUUUUUAAGCAAUGUGUGACUGUAUGUACUAUUAUUCUCUUCCUUUACGCCAAAGAGAGGCACAGAGAUAGAUAUGGGUUGAAUUGUGUCCCCUGGAAAAGAUACGUUGAUGUCCUAACCCCCCAGUACCUCAGAAUGUGACCUUAUCUGGAUAAAGGGGUAUUGCAGACAUAAUUAGUGGAAAUGACGUCAUAGUAGAGUUGGGUUCAUAACCUAUUGUGAUUGAUGUCCUCAUGAGAACAGGAGAGAGAGAGACACGGAGAAUGCCAUGUGGACAGAGGUCGAGGCUGGGUGAGGCAGCUACAAGUCAAGGACACCAAAGAUGGCUGGCAGCCUCCAGAAACCAGGGGAGAGCCUGGGGCAGCUUCUCUCAGAGCCCUCAGAAGGAAACAACACCAACGCCAGUCUCAUGUUGGGCUUCUGGCCUCCAGAACUGUGAAAGAUUACUUUUCUUUUGUUUCCAGCCACCUGGUCUCUGGUACUUUGGGACGGCAGCCCUAGGCAACAAUGUAGAGCUGUUAAGCCAUGUGCCCACGGUCACACAGCCAGGUGGGCGACAGAGAGGAUGCAGGCCCGGGGAAUCUGGCCAGUGUUGAUGUUUUGAGCCCCCUUGCUGUGGCAGUGCUGGAGGACUGAGGAGCCGCGAGGAACGUGGAGCCCUCUUCCCCUCUUCCCCUCUGCACCUCUCCUCCUCCCUUCCUCACUCUGGGGCGAAGGCAGGGAGAUAAACAUUUAACACGUGCGCAGGAAAAUCUGGAUUGGGCAACUCUGCUGGAGCCCAUCCUCCCUCCCAGAAAGGAAGAGCCUGCCUCUGUCGCAGACAGAUGGUCACCCAGCGUCUGCCUGAAUGCCUGCUGGGAAACAGCGCUGUGCACGGGAGUGCAGAGGGGCUGAGUGCUGGACAUGGAAUCCUGAUUUUGCCUCCCAUUGGCUGGGUGACCUUGGCCGAGGAGCCUAACUUCCCCUUGCCUCAGUUUCCUCGUCUAUAAAAUGAAGACAAUGAAUCCUACCUCCCAGUGUCAUUAUGGUGGUCUCACAGCUACAUGUGUUCCGUGCUUGCAGCAGGGUGCUCCAGGGAAUGUGACAUGGUGAUGACUGCUGUUUCUAAUUACUGCCCUAUCAGGAGGCAGAGGAAGGAGCCAGCCUGGUGGGCCACUGAGGAAACGCUGACGUUCCUGAUUGUCGGGUAGCUGGGGCUGGUAGGGCCUGGCUGAUGCCUGCCUGGUCACUUGGGAGUGAGGACUUGCCUUUCCCCAAACAAACUCAACAUCUGAAUGAUUGACAAGGGCACAGCAAUCAAUAAGUCCUUAUUUCCUGA